CUCCAAAGUGUUGAGUUCAGUUCAGGGAGUUUCCCUGAUCUGGUAAUUAAACUUUGGAACAUUGAAACUGGCUAGGGAAAAUCAUCGGAUAGAAAAUGUUAUUCUAUUCAUAUAUCCCCAGCCUACAAGU
ensembl:snoRNA SNORA36B small nucleolar RNA, H/ACA box 36B